rnacentral:misc_RNA from 1 species
UCAUUUCAACCCUUAAGCCUAGCUUAGUGUUGGGAGCCUACUGUAUUGUAGCUCCCCAAAUCCAACGGCGGAUCUGUGGUAUCCUCUGAGCGUAGUAAUUUUUAUCUCGCUUUUGUCAGGUGCUGCAGCUCUCAGCCGCUAAACCCCCCAAUUUUUUAAUGGUUGACCUCGGAUCAGGUAGGAAUACCCGCUGAACUUAA